AUUGGACGCUGGCGGCAUGCCUUACACAUGCAAGUCGAACGGUAACAGGUUAAGCUGACGAGUGGCGAACGGGUGAGUAAUGUAUCGGAACGUGCCCAGUCGUGGGGGAUAACUGCUCGAAAGAGCAGCUAAUACCGCAUACGACCUGAGGGUGAAAGCGGGGGAUCGCAAGACCUCGCGCGAUUGGAGCGGCCGAUAUCAGAUUAGGUAGUUGGUGAGGUAAAGGCUCACCAAGCCGACGAUCUGUAGCUGGUCUGAGAGGACGACCAGCCACACUGGGACUGAGACACGGCCCAGACUCCUACGGGAGGCAGCAGUGGGGAAUUUUGGACAAUGGGCGCAAGCCUGAUCCAGCCAUGCCGCGUGCGGGAAGAAGGCCUUCGGGUUGUAAACCGCUUUUGUCAGGGAAGAAAAGGUUCUGGCUAAUACCUGGGACUCAUGACGGUACCUGAAGAAUAAGCACCGGCUAACUACGUG
rnacentral:rRNA from 1 species